ACCGCACAUGCUCAAAUGGCCUCUGCAAGACCCAAGUCUAGAUUUUCCCCUGAUCUAGGGAGUCAGAAGAAUGCAAAGUUGUUGGCAAGGGACCCGAGCAUUUUUUAAAAAGAUAUAAAUGGCACAAAACAGAGAGCUCCAAGAAGGCUUGGAAUAGUUUCCAUUUUAUUAUCCACACAAAUGUAUGAGGCAGAAAUCCAUGAGGUAAUCACAAACCAGUGAUUUGGGGAAGCCUCAUCUGUUGAAUAUCUGUCUGGAUUGAUCCCUUCCCAGCCCAAGUUUGACCUGAAAGACGAAGACAAGGUAUAGGUGCAUGAAGACUGUACAAAGACUUUACUGCUUACAUAGAGCAGAAGGUAACCACCUUAACUUGCAAUUUCCAUGCUUUUUUAGAGCAUGAAUGAAAACUGUAAGCACCUUAAUUCUCAUGCUAAAGUGAUCGUUUUUGUGUUUCUCUGUGUGUAUUACAGUUUUAUCCCUAUCAUUUUGCAGCACUUUAGAAUGUCUAAACCCUUCACCUAUAUUAUCUUGAAUAUACGCAGGAGUGUGUUUUCCAGCUUAAAACAAAGUUAGAUGGAGAUUGUCAGAAUUAAACAAUAAUCCCCAUCGCACUUUGAGGUCAUCUAGAGAGGUCUGUCUCCAGUUACUACCAAUACGUCUGGUGGCGACUUGGAACUGGGCCUUCUCUGUAGCUGCUCCUAGUCUAUGGAAUGCACUUCCGGCAGAUAUCUGCAUUUUAGGCUCGCUGUUGGCCUUUAAGAGACUUACUUGUUUGGCCUGACCUUCCAAGGUUUUAAAAUUGUUUUUAAGUUUUUUAAUUGGUUUUAAAUUGUGUUAAAAUUGUUUUUAUAUUGUUUUAAGUAGUGUGUUUUAAAUGAUGUUUGUUUUUAUGUUUUUUAAACUAGUUGUACACUGCCCAGAGCCUCUGGAUCGGGUGGUUUAUAAAUGUAUUAAAUAAAACCAUCAUCAUCGACAACAUAAAUGGGCCAAUUCGACUCAUCUGUUAAAAAAUUGAGAAUAUCCCUGCAGACAAAUUUUUGGAAUACCAACAGCUAUGAGUCAUACUAAGUGGGACUUCCAUAUUCAGAAGCACUAGCUUACAUGUACCACAGCACAACAUGGGCAUUGCAGAACCACCUUCGCUGCUGUGGGGCUCUAACACAUGCGGUGAUAGUGUCUUGCACAAAUUGCAUGUUACACACUAUUUCCAUUGGGAAUAAUGUUAGCUGUGUAUGUCAUGAUAUCACUCAGGUGGAGAAUAAUUCUUGUACUGCCAUUCUGCACAACACAGUCACUGCAUGUAUUCCAGCCCAGCAGCAAUACAAGUGGUUCUGCAAUGCCCAAACUACGAUGUGGGACAUAUAAGUCAGUAUUCAUCUAACAUCUGAUUCUGGGGACAUAAAAUGGGAAAUGCUCUAUAAUAAUCUUUUAAUGCCUAUUGACUAUUUUAACAAUUUUGCAAAUGAGUGCUCAGUGUAAUUUAAAAGUGAAAAACAACACCGAGUUCCAAUGUGGGGGAGGGAUUUAGUACAAUCAUUUUUACAAUAGCCCUGCACUGCUCUUCACUAAAGAACCAACACAGAUUCAUACAGAAAAUCUACUUCAUGUUUCCCUUACUUCAGAAGGAAACUAGAUCAUCAAUUCAAAAGGAAGUAACUGAGUUCAGAGGAACAGUAUGGGUACACUGCAGAUAGCUAUCAAUGCCAACAUUAAUUCACAACCUUUUAGAAGGAAUUAUGGGUAGCUCCUCCACACUGGUUUUAUGUUGCUAAAUUUAUGUUAUUGUAAUCCCAUAAGUCUGAGUUGUCUCUUGCUAAGAUCUAUUUGAGAUUUCUCCUUUUAAAAAUGGCUCAGUGGGCUGAUCCUGUGAUUGCCUUUGAGCAAGCGGAUUUUAGAGCUCAUAGGUAAUCCAGAGACCAGAUUUUUAUACUAGCUGCCUUGGGAGCACUGGGCUCGCCUGCAAGCCCGGUGGUUCCCACGAUCCCUAGAAAGCAGGCUAAGCUCUCUUAGCCCGCUUUCCAGUGAUUGUGGGAAUAGCCUCUCUAUCUUGCAUCAUGUUUAAAAGGCAAUAAUUUUGUAUUGGUUCACAGUAGAAUAGCGUAGAAGAUUCUUCGCUAUUGAGUAUCACCUGGAAAGAAAUCCAGUGAUUUUCUCUUUAUAGUUCCUGGGAUACCCUAGUAAAAAUUUGUCUGGAUGAGUUUGGGGUUUUUUUUUGGGGGGGGGGCGUCUUUUGAUCAUGAGAAUGUUUCCUUGCAAUGGCUAGAGACUUACCAAAACUGCUAAAGUUUUGGUAAACUUUACUCUUUGGAGGAAGGUGAUGAUGGAUGAUCUGUGUAAUACAAGAAAGCUAUGUUAUUUAAAAUGUUAUGAAAUUUUAAGCUUUUUAUUGGUCCUGCUCCUUACUUACAGAAGUAUAUUUUAAAACAUUAAAAUGCAUUUAAAAUGCAGGCAAUUUGUUGUAAAAUCUGUCCAAAGAGAAUUAUUUCAGAAGGGGAAUCCUCCAAAUGUGUAUGUGCUCAUGCACACGAUGAGGAUAUGAUAUACUAUUUCUUAAGUUUUCAAUUUCUGUCUGAGUAUAGGAAUAGACAUCUUUCUUUUUUUAAAUGCAGACCUAUGAGUUUCAUUAUUAUCUUGUUGCAAGAUGAUGAUAUCCUUAAAGUUAUUCGAGUAGCUACAUUUGUUCAUGCUGCUGAAAAGGUGAAGAAAAUCCUCUUGGCUGUUUGGCGAUAUCGAUUGAUAAAUAUUUUAAUUUACAUCUGAUUUUAAUGUUUUCAACACACUUUUAAAACUUAUUUAUCUAUUGUUCUUUUUAAAAGAAAUUGUAAUAUUUUUUAUGUGAAACAACAAUGGCUGUGCAACAAUGUUCUAUCCUAUCCUAUGUUGUUGUAAUAGCAAUUGUUUUAAUAGCAAUUCAAAAUAUGUAAAUUGUAUUUAGAGGAACAGAACCAGAUAUUGUAGUCCUCUAAAUACCAACAUCAGUGCCAACAUUAGACCCACCUGCCUUCCUCCAUCACUUUUGCCAGCAUUCCAAAGGAUCAAUAAGAGGACCCUCUUUCAUAGGGCAGAGUGCCUGAUAAGUGGGGAAUCCCCACUAUAUGAUUGACUGCUGAAUUUUCAUAUUUAUUUAUUUAUUUAGCUAUUGGUUUGCUUUGCUAUUGGUUUUAUUUUGACUGUUUCAGUUAUUUAUCAUUGUUCCUUUUUAAAUGUUUGUUUUGAUUGUAGCUCUGAUUGUCUGCACAGGUAGAACAAGGGGUAUAGACAUCUUUUAAUAAACAAACAAGCAUUAGCAACAUUUAAGAAGGAACCAUUAGUCUAAGAUUGCUAAGUGUACUACUAUGACUACUACAAACAUUUAUAUACUGACUAAGUGUACAUCUUCUUCAUCAUGAACCCCACCGCCCAUUGAGAUCUUCAGGAGAGGUCCGUCUGCAUUUGCCAGCAGCUCGUCUGGUGGCUACUCGGGGACGGGCCUUCUCCGUUGCUGCCCCGAUGCUUUGGAAUGCGCUCCCUGCUGAAAUAAGGGCCUCCCCAUCUCUGACAAUUUUUAAAAAAUCUUUAAAGACACAUUUGUUCACCCAGGCUUUUAAUUAAAUGCCAUUUAAAUAGUUUUAACUUUGUUUUAAAAUAUUGUUUUAAGGUUUUAAAUUGUUGUAAUGUUUUAACUUUUUGCUGUCAUUUCUUUUAACCAAUGUUUUUAAUUUCUUGGUUGUCAUUUACCUGUUUUAACUACUGUUUUAACUUUUCUGUUUUUGUUGUAAACCGCCCAGAGACGUAAGUUUUGGGCAGUAUAAAAAUAUGUUAAAUAAAAUAAAUAAACAAAGCCCCUUC